UUUUGGAGCCAGCCGCCGAAGGUGGGACAGAUGAUUGGGGUGAAGUCGUAACAAGGUAGCCGUAUCGGAAGGUGCGGCUGGAUCACCUCCUUUCUAAGGA
rnacentral:rRNA from 1 species